rnacentral:rRNA from 1 species
GUGGGGAAUCUUGCGCAAUGGGCGAAAGCCUGACGCAGCCAUGCCGCGUGAAUGAUGAAGGUCUUAGGAUUGUAAAAUUCUUUCACCGGGGACGAUAAUGACGGUACCCGGAGAAGAAGCUCCGGCUAACUUCGUGCCAGCAGCCGCGGUAAUACGAAGGGGGCUAGCGUUGCUCGGAAUUACUGGGCGUAAAGGGCGCGUAGGCGGACAGCUUAGUCAGAGGUGAAAGCCCAGGGCUCAACCUUGGAAUUGCCUUUGAUACUGGCUGUCUUGAGUUUGGGAGAGGUGAGUGGAACUCCGAGUGUAGAGGUGAAAUUCGUAGAUAUUCGGAAGAACACCAGUGGCGAAGGCGGCUCACUGGCCCGAUACUGACGCUGAGGUGCGAAAGCGUGGGGAGCAAACAGGAUUAGAAACCCUGGUAGUCC